rnacentral:rRNA from 1 species
CAAAGGUAGCGUAAUCACUUGUCUUAUAAAUAAAGACCUGUAUGAAUGGCUAAAUGAGUAUUAAACUGUCUCCUUCAACCAAUCAGUGAAACUGAUCUUUCAGUACAAAAGCUGAAAUUUACACAUAAGACGAGAAGACCCUGUGGAGCUUUAAAUCUUAACCAAGUAGUGCACAAAGUACAAUUAUGGUUAAAAAUUUUUAGUUGGGGCGACUUUGGAGAAAAACAUAACCUCCAAGAAAAGGUGCCACCUAAACAAGGCCCACAAGCCAAGCCCCUUUGACCCAGAACUUCUGAUUAACGAACCAAGCUACCCCAGGGAUAACAGCGCCAUCUUCUUCAAGAGUUCAUAUCGACAAGAAGGUUUACGACCUCGAUGUUGGAUCAGGACACCCAAAUGGUGCAGCCGCUAUUAAAGGUUCGUUUGUUCAACGAUUAAUAGU